rnacentral:lncRNA from 1 species
AAAGAAUCUCAUUCAGCCUUUUUACCUAUGGCAGCCACUACUAGAAAAAUUACAUUGCAUCAAACUUUUUGACAGUUGCCCAUGCCCAGGAAGGACUGGACUGUCACCCAUGGGAGUGAGCUCCCCAUCUUUGGAGGUAUACAAAAGAAAUCAAGACAGAAUCGGAAAGGUCUGACGCAGAUCAGCCUGCCCACUCUUCAGUGUUUGGGUUGUUCAAGCCCAACUUCCUCCCUGCAUUUUUGUUGAGAUUAACAUAGGCAUGGUCAAGUUCACAAACGUCACAAGUAGAGGCUGAUGAGGGUGAUGACCUUCCAGUCUGGAUCUAGCACAUUCCCAGCCUCUGGCAGUUCUUGGACACUCCAGGUGAUUCUCCCGUCCCAAGGCGACCACUGCCCUGACCUCUGUUGCUGUAGG